GCAGUUCACGGGCCGCUCCUGCCCUCUGUCGGCGCCCGGCGGCAGCGCAGCGCGCUCCUGGGCCGGCGGUUCGGCCCCUGGCACCGCGCGCCCGCUGCCCACCGCCGGGCAUCACCGGACCAAGACGUUUCCCACAGCGGGCUGCAAGGCAGGCAAGCCGACCCCCUUGUAAAGACGGCAGGGCAGAGGCUCAGAGAUGGCCAGUGACCUGCCCAGGGGCACACAGCAGGACCACAGGGAGGGACACCAGCUGAGGUUGGGACCCAGGUGUUAAGCACACUUCUGUGAGUCCCACUGGGUUCAAACCCUGGCUCUGCCCCUCAUUGCUGUGUGCCCUGAGACAGGUGACACCUCUCUGGAUCUCAUAAUUCUCAGGGUAAACUGGGGAUGACAGUAAUCCCUCUUCUUAGGAAGAUGUCACUGUUUUCAGCGCAUUCCUGGCACAUAUCCCAGGAGAGCAGGACCUUGCUUGUCUUGGCCACUCGGGUCCUUGGUCUGGCACAGGGCCUGAUAGGAAUGUGUUGACAGAAAGAAUAAAAACGCCGAGUCGAGUGGGACUGCGGACUGGUACAGCCACGCUGGACGACGGUUUGCAGAAGCCUGUCGGCCUCUCCGGCGGCGCUGGGAGGAGCCCUCUUUCUGCCCACUGCACAGAAGAGUAGACUGAGGCUUCGCGAGACGCCCAGCCGGAUGCGCGGGGGGCAGCCAGGAACAGAAGCCGGAGGCCUGCAUGCAGCCCCACCGCCGACCCACCAGAGACGAUUCUCAGGGCCGAGGUGUUGGAGAAUGGCCUGGUUUCUCCCCUUGGGAAGAGGAUGUGCCUUUCGAGACGUCUCAUGUAAAUGGGAUCACACGAUAUGCAGCCGUCGGUGUCUAGCUGCUUCUACUCAGCACAGCGUUUUCAAGGUCCGUCCAUGUAGCACGCAUCAGUACCUCAUUCCUUUUUAUUAUGAUUAUAUUGUGCCAAAUUUAAUGUACUCCAUUUAAUUAUCCCGUGGAAUAAUAUUCCAGGUGGUAUAGCUGCAUACCACACUUUGGUUAUCCAUUCAUCAGUUGUUAAACAUUUGGGUUACUUCCACUUGUUGGCCAUAACUCUAUGUUUAACUUUUUGAGAAACAUCAGAACUGUUUUGCCAAGUGUCUGCCAUAGAGCAUUUAGUGAGCACCUGCUGUAUGCCCCUUUCAUUCUCACCACUACCCCACAAAGCAGGUAUUCAUUUCAUUUCGCUGUGGCACAGAGAGGGUUAUACACUUGCUCCGGGCCUCAUUGGAUCCAAAUCUGUCUGUGCUGUUAAAAGCAGGGCUGCUGUGAUGGGUGUGGGGUCUGGGAAUCAGACACUUGGUCACGUGACCCCUGGGGUACCCGUGGCAUACAGGGGCGUACCCCUUGCGGGUCUGGUGGGCAUAGGAGGAGAAACCUGCACGAAGGGUCUGGAGGCUGCACUCUCCCUGGAGGUGGGCCCAUGGCUCCCAGACAUGGUGGCAGAGAGGGUGGGGAAGGACAUGUGGGCCUCUGGCCGGGGUGGCAACUCUCCCAGCCCUCCUGGGCACCCCUCACCAAGGGACAGGCCGUUCCAAGCUGCCCCAAGGCUCGGCAAGGGUCCAGGAUACUGAUCCAAUUAUUGGUCAAAGGAAUCAAUGGGCGAUGGGGCAGAGCCAGCAGCCGCCGCAGCCAGGGCAUUUCAGGGCGUAAGGGGUGAGGGCGAGGGCCCGAGGCUCUGGCCCAGCAUUUUGGAGGUGAUUGUCCAGCUCUGCAUGGUUCUGCUCAGAGUUCUGGGGAGUCAGCAGGGAUGGGGGGCUGAGACGCCAGCCUGGGAGGGGAGCCCUGGCACUGCCCCCAAGUCUUUGCAGUGGCCCCUGGCCCAGGGGGACAGGUGGAACUGCAGGUCCAGAGGGCAGAACUGACACCCACCAGAGUGUCUCUGAGGGACAGCUGUGGCCGACUGCCAGGCCCCUCUCCCAUGGAGGCCAUGGGCCUGGGCCCUGAAGGCCCUCCCACCCGGGCCCGCCUGCCGGGGUUGAGCUCUCGUCCCAGCAGGGGCUGUUCCCAUGGGUGCCGGGCAUCACCGUCUGCGUGACUGCCCCGAGUUGCUGUUUUCUCUCUGCUGUCGGUCGGGUGGGGUGGUGUGGAGGGAGCUCCCGGUGCCUAGAGGUGUGUAAGAGGAGGCUGGACUUGGAGGGAUGCAGCAGUGGUGAGGCCCAACCCAGCUCCGGGUGAGCCAGGCUCAGAGACCGGAUGUGAUCUGGGUCCUGACCACAUGGUGGCCGCAGGUGGCUGGGGAGGGGUGGUCUGAGGUUCGGAGGGCAGCCCGGCCCCUCCAUCCUGUCAUGAUGGUGAGAUGGGCCGAGGCCACUGGCCCAGGAGGAAUGCACAGCCCCUUGCUCAUAAACCUGCUCUGCCUCCUCCCAGUGUGUGCCAGGAGGUCAUCCAGAGGUCACCUCAGGGUGCGCCAGCACCAGAGGCUGCUCAUCCCCGCGGGGCCCCAUGGCCUCUCAUGGGCCACUGCCUGGCGGGCGGUCCAGAGGUCAGACCCAGCCCAGAGCCGAAGCCCAAACCCCUGGGCGUUCUGGAAGCCCCAAGGAAGCUGCACAGAACAUGGGCUCUGAGUGCUCAAGGCUGCAGUCAAGGUUUCGGAGCUCUCAGACCGGGACACUGGGCCUCCUCCCCGGCCUCCGGUCCGCGGUCCACACGGCUGGCGUCAGGAGCCCCAGCCACGGGGGAGCCUCCGCUUGCACAGGACAGCCUGUGCUCCCUCAGAGGUUGCUCAGGUCAGGGCUCUGAGCUCAGGUGCGGGCCUAGAGGGCAUGGAGGCAGUGAGCAGGCCGCCCCAGUGUGCCCUCAGGGGCGAGUCUGAGGGUGCCACCAGCUCCCAGGGGCCUAGGCGUGGGUGGGCUCAUUGCCCCCCUCCGGCCCUGCUGGCGUUCUGCCCCUCCCCGGACGGGGCAGCCUUUCUGAGUAUGGUCCUCAGGCAGCAGGGCCUGGGCAGGCACCAGGGCUGCGGCUUUCUGGAGCCUGCAUAUGUAGCUGUGCUCGGGGUGCCCCUAUUGAAGCCCACAGAGGGCAGUCUGCGGGGGCCCAGGCCGAAGAAGAGGGGAGCACCUCCUGGGCUCCGGGGUGUGCUUCCCUCCAGGGAAGUCCUCUGUUCCAGGCAGGACUCAGUUAGCUCUGCCCAGGGUGGCAGGAGGGGCCCGGGCCUCUGAAGGACCCACAAGGGAGAGGGAGGUCUGAGGCCCCACUUCUCCCUCAGGGGCUCUCCUGCCACCUCCCGCUGUGGCUACCUGCACAUCAGAGUCCAGGAGGGACUGGGGAGUCACAGCCAGGCUUGGGCCUCCCCCUCCCGCCCUGGAGCAGGGGGUAGAGGGGCUCUGAAAAGUGGCGUGACGCCCUCUGAGCUCCACAGCACAAUCCAACAGCCAGGAGCCCCAGGCCCGGAGGCCCCUCAGAGGCCAGUGACGGGCAUGCAGCAGUCCUCGAGCCUCUGGAGGCUGUCCUCCGGGCGGGCUGAGUGGCCCCUCUCCCACGGAGGCGCCCCGCCCCCAGCCCACCUGCUAGCGUGAGCUCUUCCCAGCAGGGGCUGUUCUCAUGUGUGCAGUGAGGAAGGAAAUUGCAAAUUAAUCUUUAUUUCCAUCUUGGAAGAAAACCUUAAUUCUCUGCAUUGAAAUGAUCCUCGUCAUCCCAGGGAAUCAAUUAUGGGCUUUAAUUGCAGUGUGUCCUGGCCAAUCAGAGCAGGGCAGACCACGCGGCCCCUCUCUCUCCUCCCUUCUGCUUCUGUCUCCACCGCUCCCUCCUCCGGUGCAUUGAACUCUCUGAGUCUCUCUGUAUCUCUUUGUCUCUCUCUCUGCUUCUUUCUCUCUGUCUCUCCUGGUGUCUGUCUCUUUCCCUCUUUCCCUCUCUAUGACCCUGCCCCUCUCUCACUGUGUCUCGGCUGCCCGCCCGGCCAGCACAGAGCUCAGGCAUGAACACCCAGGCCUGAUCAAGCCCUGCGGGGGCUGGCUGGCCCCCAGGCUUCCUCCUGCACUCUGUCUCUUGUCCCAGAGCAGUAGCUUUGAGGGUGGGGGCUGAGGGUGGGAUGAGUUAUAGGCUUGUUCCUGUCCCCUGGGGUCUCUCCUGGGGUCACCCUUCUGCUGCCCCACAUUCCCCCAGAGCCCGCCGUCAUGGACCUGCCGAUCACCAAUAUGUCUCCCUUCCAGGCCAGCGUCCUGCCUGAGCUCUGUGCCUGCGCGUUUGCGUGGGGUCAUGAAGUGGGGUCAGGGCAGUGGUGACCGAAGGAUCUGGGGCCCCAGAGACACCAGGCCUUCAGGGAGGAGCUGCUCUGGGCUGGGGCUCAGGCAGGGGUCCAGGGCAGCCACAGAGGAGCAGCAGGGCCUCACCGACUCAGGACUGACUAGAGACCUGGUCGUCAGGAAAUGAGGGCCAAGCGGCUACAAGCAGAAGGCAACUGCAUGACCCUUCUUCUCGUCCAGGCCUCUGUGCUUGCUUCAGAACCCCUCCCCUUAUUCAUCUUCCAUCUGUGGCUAAACAUCAAUUCAGUCUCUUUGAACAUAAUUAAAACCUAAGAGGUAAGGCCAGAGUGCCCUUGGCCCACCCACCACCACCCUUUCUAGCCCCUUUAGGGCAGCCACUGG
rnacentral:lncRNA from 1 species